rnacentral:rRNA from 1 species
ACAGAGGGGGCAAGCGUUGUUCGGAAUUACUGGGCGUAAAGGGCGCGUAGGCGGCCUGUUAAGUCGAACGUGAAAUCCCUGGGCUCAACCCAGGAACUGCGUCCGAUACUGGCAGGCUUGAAUCCGGGAGAGGGGGGUGGAAUUGCUGGUGUAGCGGUGAAAUGCGUAGAGAUCAGCAGGAACACCCGUGGCGAAGGCGGCCCCCUGGGCCGUACCUGACGCUGAGGCGCGAAGGCUAGGGGAGCGAACGGGA